GGAGGGAUCUAUGGCUCAGGGAUAGAGCAUCUGCUUGGCAUGCGGAAGGUCUCCGGUUCAAUCCCCGCCAUCUCCA
rnacentral:tRNA from 1 species